rnacentral:rRNA from 1 species
GACGUAGGGGGCAAGCGUUGUUCGGAAUUAUUGGGCGUAAAGCGCUCGUAGGCGGGACUGUAAGUCCGUGUUGAAAGACCUCGGCUCAACUGAGGGACCGGCUCGGAUACUCUAGUUCUUGAGGCAAUCAGAGGGUGAUGGAAUUCCCGGUGUAGCGGUGAAAUGCGUAGAUAUCGUGAGGAACACCAGAGGCGAAGGCGGCUACCUAGACAAUUGCUGACGCUCAGGCACGAAAGCGUGGGGAGCAAAAGGG